rnacentral:miRNA from 1 species
CGUGUUCAGGCAUUUCUCUCCU